AUUGAACGCUGGCGGCAGGCUUAACCCAUGCAAGUCGAGCGAGCGGCGGACGGGUGAGUAAUGUCUGGGAAACUGCCUGAUGGAGGGGGAUCACUACUGGAAACGGUCGCUAAUACCGCAUACCAUCAGAUGUGCCCAGAUGGGAUUAGCUAGUAGGUGGGGUAAUGGCUCACCUAGGCGACGCUCCCUAGCUGGUCUGAGAGGAUGACAAUCCACACUGGAACUACGACACGGUCCGUAGGCCUACGGGAGGCAGCAGGGGGGAAGAUUGCAAAAUGGGCGAAGGCCUGAUGGAGCAAGACCGCGUAGGUGAAGAAGGCCUUGGGGUUGUAAAGCACUUUCAGCGAGGAGGCGUUACUCGCAGAAGAAGCACAGGGUAACUCCGUGCCAGCAGCCGCGGUAAUAC
rnacentral:rRNA from 1 species